AAACCCGCCCCGUUUUCACUUUUUGGGUCGGGUUGAGUCCUCUUUCCGUCCCUAACAAACGUGUUCUUCUUCCGUACAGUAAAUACACCUUCAAUUCCUCACAUUUCAAGAACAAAUUGAUCCACCAUACGCUGUUCAACAAUCCGGCACCACUCGCAGAUGUUCAUAACCUCAUUCCAUGAUCAUAAAGUCCCCAAAACCGCUACUUUCCUCAACAAUUCACUUAAUUUCACAUGUUGCCUCACUCUCCUGCACCAAUUACAUCCAAUCAACCGACCAAAACCCACUCAAUUCCACACAAUACGAAGCCAAAAUCCAAUCCUUAAGAAACAAACUUCACCCAGAAACCCUAAUUAACAUCCUAUCUUCAACAAGCGAUUUAAACUCAUCGUUACGGUUGUUCAAAUGGGCAUCUUUACAACACCAUUUUCAACACACUACAGAUACAUAUUAUCACAUGAUCAUGAAAUUGGGUAUGGCUUCUAGGGUUGAUGAAGUUGAAGGGUUUUGUAACGAGAUGGUUAAAGCUGGAUUUUCAGCUUCAGAACAAGCUCUGUUAAGAUUAAUUGAUGGGUUUGUUAUAAAUCAUAAGUUAGAUGAAGCUUUGAGGGUGUUUUCUGUGCUUAGUUUGAAUGGUUAUAAGCCCUCGGUUUCGUUAGUUAAUCGCGUGUUAGGUGUGCUUGUGGAGGAAAAGAAGGGGAUUAAGGAUGUUUUGUUUGUGUAUAAGGAGAUGGCGAAAGCGGAUAUUUGUCCGAAUACGGAGACGUUGAAUUGGGUAAUGCAGGCUUUGUUUGAUGAUGAUUGGGUUGAUUCGGCAUUGGAUCAGUAUAAACGGAUGGAGAAAAAGGGGUGCUGUGCGAAUAGCCGGACGUAUGAGAUUGUGGUGAGUGGGCUUAUUGGGAAGAAUCGGUUGGAUCAAGCUCUUGUUGUUUUGAGUGAUGUUUUUGAAAGUGGGUGUGUUUUUGAAUUGGAAUUCUUUUCGUGUGUGUUGCCUUUGUUGUUUGAGAUGGGUGAGUAUGAUAUGGGGUUGAGAUUGUUUGGAAAGAUGAAGAGUUUGAAUGUUGUUCCGGAUUUGUCGGUGUAUGAGGUUUUGAUAUGGUGUUUUGCUAAAAACCAAUGUACGGAUGAUGCGAUGGAUCUUGUUAAUGAUAUGGUAAGUCGUGAUUUGAAGCCUUCGGAUUGUGUGUUUGUUGAUUUGGUUAACGGGUUUUGUAUGUUAAACAAGUUACGCCAGGCAAAACAGUUGCUUCAAGAUCAUCAAGUAACCAAAGCCGGUUCGUAUAACGCUCUUCUUAAAGGCUAUUGCUAUUGCCAGGCUGGCAGUUAUGCUGAUGUCAUGUGGCUAUUUCAGGAAAUGGUAGAAAAGAACAUAACAAACAGUCUUUCAUGGAACAUUUUAGUCAGUUAUCUUAGUGAGAAUCAAAGAUAUGAUACGGUUUAUAAAGCGCUGACUCGAAUGAUUGUUUCUGGUAAUCCGCUUGAUUCCACCACUUACACUGCACUUAUUAUCGGAAGAUGUAAAUCGAAUAAAGUUCAUGACGCCCUCGACUUGUUUCAUCAUAUUCGUGAGGAGCAAUGGAUCGUAGAUUCUUCUUGUUACGAUACGUUAAUCGAAAGUCUUUGCCAAACGAACAAGAUCCAAGAUGCAGUUGAUGUGUUUCACCACGGUUUGUUCAACAAAUGUAUCGUACGCACUUCCACUUUCAGUAUGUUAAUCAAGGGAUUAUGUCUAAACGCGAAAGUCAACAAAGUAGUUGACUUUCUGCAUCUUGCUUCGCAUCAUGGUCUAUCUUGUUCUAGUGAAGAUUACAGUAUUAUUAUGAAGAGCAUGUAUACUUUAUCGAAAAGCAACGAUCUUUUAACCAUUGUCGGAAGAAUGGUUGUAGAAGGUUGCCCUUUAAGUUCCAAAACUUAUAACCAUAUAAUAAAAAGCAUGAGUGAUCAUCAAAGGUCAACAGAAUGUGCGUUGUAUCUUAAUCAAAUGGUCAAUAAAGGGUUGUUGCCCGAUACUGAAAUAUUAUCUGGUUCACUUUCUUUUUUGGCACAAAAGUUGCAGUUGCAUACGGUUCUGCCUGCAAUACACAAGUUGUUAUCUGUUUCUGAUCAUUGUGUGCUGAAUCAUGCGAUUUGUAACGUAAUUAUAAACGGGCUUUGGAAAGAAGGGUAUAAACAGGAAGCCCGUUUGGUAUUGGAUGUGAUAUUGGAAAACGGUUGGGUGCCUGAUUCUACAACGCAUAGAUUAUUGAUUAGUUCUGGUUCUAGUGAAGCUGAUGAAAAAGGCGGCGACACGGAAGAUGAGAUAAGUAACAUACUCUCUGAGGGCUUCGGCGAACCUUAAUCGACAUGUGUUAGAAGAUUACAUCUGAUUGGGGAAGAGCAUCCACAAUGGGUGUUUUUGAUCCGUGUGGCAUCCUUAAGCGUGUUUGGAUGCCCCCUAAGGAUGGAGUCGGGAGGAAUCUGUGAGAGGAAGAGGGGGCGUUUUUGGCCGAGAGGGGCAGGUGGUGACGUGGUUGAUGUUUUUAGGCUUCCCAUUGGAGAUGUUCUAACUUACCAUUAAGUUCUGUUUUAUCUCUCAAGGCCUUGGUUAUCAUGUUUUAUUCAAAAUCCAGUUUUGGUUUAAGAUCAAAUACAGAGGCUCCUAAAAAUAAGAAGUCGUACAAAAGGUAUCAAACGGACUCCGAUUGACCUCAUUCAAACGGCAUUGGAACCGUCUCAUUAAACUCUACGAUGUGAGAUUUUAGGCCUCACUUUUGGAUUUAU